rnacentral:rRNA from 1 species
AUUGAACGCUGGCGGCAGGCCUAACACAUGCAAGUCGAGCGGAUGAAGGGAGCUUGCUCCUGGAUUCAGCGGCGGACGGGUGAGUAAUGCCUAGGAAUCUGCCUGGUAGUGGGGGAUAACGUCCGGAAACGGGCGCUAAUACCGCAUACGUCCUGAGGGAGAAAGUGGGGGAUCUUCGGACCUCACGCUAUCAGAUGAGCCUAGGUCGGAUUAGCUAGUUGGUGGGGUAAAGGCCUACCAAGGCGACGAUCCGUAACUGGUCUGAGAGGAUGAUCAGUCACACUGGAACUGAGACACGGUCCAGACUCCUACGGGAGGCAGCAGUGGGGAAUAUUGGACAAUGGGCGAAAGCCUGAUCCAGACAUGCCGCGUGUGUGAAGAAGGUCUUCGGAUUGUAAAGCACUUUAAGUUGGGAGGAAGGGCAGUAAGUUAAUACCUUGCUGAUUUGACGUUACCAACAGAAUAAGCACCGGCUAACUUCGUG